AGAGUUUGAUCCUGGCUCAGGAUGAACGCUAGCGGCAGGCUUAAUACAUGCAAGUCGAGGGGCAGCAGGGGUAGCAAUACUCGCUGGCGACCGGCGCACGGGUGCGUAACGCGUAUGCAACUUACCUUUAACAGGGGGAUAGGCUUCCGAAAGGGAGACUAAUACCGCAUAAGACAAUGGGAUCGCAUGAUCGAGUUGUUAAAACUGAGGUGGUUAAAGAUAGGCAUGCGUGCCAUUAGCUAGUUGGCGAGGUAACGGCUCACCAAGGCGACGAUGGCUAGGGGAUCUGAGAGGAUGACCCCCCACACUGGUACUGAGACACGGACCAGACUCCUACGGGAGGCAGCAGUAAGGAAUAUUGGACAAUGGGGGCAACCCUGAUCCAGCCAUGCCGCGUGCAGGAAGACGGUCCUAUGGAUUGUAAACUGCUUUUAUCGGGGAAGAAUUCCUUUUACGUGUAAGAGGUUGACGGUACCCGAGGAAUAAGGAUCGGCUAACUCCGUGCCAGCAGCCGCGGUAAUACGGAGGAUCCGAGCGUUAUCCGGAUUUAUUGGGUUUAAAGGGUGCGUAGGCGGCUUUGUAAGUCAGUGGUGAAAGUUUGCAGCUUAACUGUAAAAUUGCCAUUGAUACUGCGAGGCUUGAGUACAGAUGAGGUGGGCGGAAUGUGUCAUGUAGCGGUGAAAUGCAUAGAUAUGACACAGAACACCAAUUGCGAAGGCAGCUCACUAAAGUGCAACUGACGCUGAGGCACGAAAGCGUGGGGAUCAAACAGGAUUAGAUACCCCGGUAGU
rnacentral:rRNA from 1 species